AUACGGGGGGGGCAAGCGUUGUUCGGAAUUACUGGGCGUAAAGGGCUCGUAGGCGGCCAACUAAGUCAGACGUGAAAUCCCUCGGCUUAACCGGGGAACUGCGUCUGAUACUGGAUGGCUCGAGUUUGGGAGAGGGAUGCGGAAUUCCAGGUGUAGCGGUGAAAUGCGUAGAUAUCUGGAGGAACACCGGUGGCGAAGGCGGCAUCCUGGACCAACACUGACGCUGAUGAGCGAAAGCCAGGGGAGCAAACGGGA
rnacentral:rRNA from 1 species